rnacentral:rRNA from 1 species
AUUGAACGCUGGCGGCAGGCCUAACACAUGCAAGUCGAGCGGAUGAAGGGAGCUUGCUCCUGGAUUCAGCGGCGGACGGGUGAGUAAUGCCUAGGAAUCUGCCUGGUAGUGGGGGAUAACGUCCGGAAACGGGCGCUAAUACCACAUACGUCCUGAGGGAGAAAGUGGGGGAUCUUCGGACCUCACGCUAUCAGAUGAGCCUAGGUCGGAUUAGCUAGUUGGUGGGGUAAAGGCCUACCAAGGCGACGAUCCGUAACUGGUCUGAGAGAUGAUCAGUCACACUGGAACUGAGACACGGUCCAGACUCCUACGGGAGGCAGCAGUGGGGAAUAUUGGACAAUGGGCGAAAGCCUGAUCCAGCCAUGCCGCGUGUGUGAAGAAGGUCUUCGGAUUGUAAAGCACUUUAAGUUGGGAGGAAGGGCAGUAAGUUAAUACCUUGCUGUUUUGACGUUACCAACAGAAUAAGCACCGGCUAACUUCGUG